rnacentral:siRNA from 1 species
UGUCGGCUGCUUUGUUGAGCC